GCUCCACCUGCAGUUUUUGCUUUAUGGAAUUGAAAAUGGUGGUCAUCUUCAACUUACUGUUGGAUGAAGUAUUCUCUAAGUUCAGCUACCUGGGGUAACUCAAUGGUAAAAGAAGACCUCACACGCUCGCGACAGCAGUGGGUAGCUCAAGCCCACCAUCUCCAAUUCUGGGUCAGUUAGCAUGUUGCAGAUUUUCUGAUCCUGUUUUAGAAGUUGUGUGAGAAACUCUUCUGCAUUUUUCUUGAAAUCUGAUGGAGGAGAGUGGAGGACUUCAUCAAGCAAUGCUAUGCCGUUACAGGUUUUCUUGUAAUUAGUGUCAUUGAUUAUGUCGACUUUACUGUUUAGUUCUUCGUCUGUUCUUUUUUCUUUGAGUGACCACAUCGAGAAAUGGGUUUUAACAUCGCUGGUGUCUGACCAGUGGUAGAAGCUGAAGUUUGCCAUAUAGAUUUUUGUUGGAUUUUCUGAUGUGGAACAAUCUUUCACAGACAGUGAUUUGUAGGACAAUUUGUUGAUGUUUUGAAUCAAAAGUAAUUAUCGGUCUUUUAUACAGUUUAAAAACGCGUCUACAUGGUAAAUGAAGAGGUUAAUUGUAAUUAUGAUUAUCUGCUUUUGUUCUUUGAACUUCGAAAAUUUGUCCAUUGGGUUUCUUAGUAUUUAAUUUUAAAGUUUUCCCAUAAAAGUUGGGGUUUGAAAAGGUUUUUGCAUUAAAAGACUGUUGUUUUGAAAUAUACAUUAAUAUAUUUAUAUUAAAUCUACACGUUUUGAUUGAUUAAGUAUAUAAACUCAUGGCCACUUCACCUGUUUUUCAUCACGAUUUCCUAGGAAGAUAUCAUACUUUCAGGAAAGUCGAGUAAUAUUGUUUAUUGGUAUGGCGUCAUUCACUUUUGUAAAAUCAGAUGAUUUAAAGCAGCGUUUUGUCAACCAUAUAGUGUAACAGGUGUAUGAAGAUAGGGCUACUCUUCAAGAGCUGAAGAGAUGUUUUGAUGGAUUGCAAGUUGGCCUGUUCACGAGAGAGCAGGUUUCCAGAAAUCUUAUGUGGAUGCCUUUAACUUCAGUUCGUGAGCUUUGUGUUGUCAGCAAUAUAGAGUGCGGUGAUAGAGACGUGGAGUUCAUGGCGAUGCUGAAGGACAUACAUCGAGAUGUUCAACAAUCAUGGAGUUGAAGCUGUAGGAUCGUUUUGCCGACCAGAACGAGUCGAUCAGAAGAGUUUUUGCUUGAUACGAAAGGCGGAAACAGACGUAUCAAGUCAAUUCAGCUAGAUAUUCACUUUAAACUGUCUUUUGAUUGAUUUGACAACGUUUUACAGCGAGUUGACACUUCAGCAGUAGUUCGGUACUGAAACCGGAAAGUUCACGACUUACUCAAACGAAAUCAGAACACCACUACAUAUAGGCCUGGUAAUUUCGCAUGGAAUUACCAAACGAAAUCACAUUUCACACGAAAUCAUAUUUCAUGCGAAAUUACCUUGUAAUUUCGUGUGGAAUUACCAUUGGGUAAUUUCGUGCGAAAUUACUUCCAAACCUAUAUUUGACAUUUUCUCGUACUACGUGCUCUGAUCUAUCUAAAUACAUACAAGACUCGAUACAAGACGAAGUCGACAGACGUAUGCACCAACAGACUCCCCUUCGGAUUUUGACGAGUCUUCAGCAAUCUUCAGUCUUUAUCAGUCCUCUCGAACUCUUUUGAAGUAUCUGACAAUGUAAAACAUCCUCAAUCUCUCCCUCUCUCUUUUCUUCAUUUCCAGGAUCUCGACCUGGCUCUUCCUUCACUCUAAUUCUCUUUUAUCUCAAAAUCUCUGACUCUAAAAUUCUCUUGAUCAGAUCUCUUGAUUCCUUAAGUUCAUCAGUAUCAGCAGCUUGUGUUAACACAUCUUCCAAGAUCAGAAUCUGGCUCUUUUCAUCUACAGACUCCCCCUCUCAAUAUACUUGGAUCAGGAUCGUGACCUGGCACACACUCUGCUUAGGAAUCGAAACCUGGCUUACCUGCAUAUCCUCUACCUCACAAUAAAUUUCACAAAUUUAAAAUUUGACAAAUUUAUGUUCUCUGCUUACUAUUUGUAAAAAAAUGAAUUCAACAAAUGAGUUAAAACCACUUACAGGUAUUAACCAAUUAAUGAUUUUACAUUGUUAAUCUCUGAUGAAUCACUAAAUAGAAUGAUUUAACAUUUAAAAUCUUUUAAUGACCACUUGUAAUCUCAACAUUCAAAAUCUUUUCUCAUUACACAAACUCCCCCUCACCAGAUGUUCAUCAGCUUAGCACUCGGAAUUUUGAAAAUUGGCUCUUUUACAUCAGUUGUCGAAAAUCUUUUUGGAUUUUUCAAAAUUUAUGCCAAAACACAUCGAAAAACUUUUUGGAAUUUUUUUUUUAAUGAAAUGCAGAAAUAAAAUAUUUACAUAACUGAUGUGUGCGAGGUGUGUUAUAUUGUAGGUAUGUAUUUUAAGCCCUUUUACACUUUUUAGCCAAGUUUUAAAUUUAUAAAACACGAUAUUUACUAACACUAAACACACAUAUGGGCAAGUGCACCCAUCGUGGACGUAGUAUAGUGUUGGUAAGAUACCGAGGUCGUCCAAGGACACAAGAGCUUUUAGUACCGGUUUAUCCUCAACGUCUAAUCAAAUCAAAAUGUUAGAAAAAGAUUUUUAAACUAAGAAAAUAAAACUAACUAAAAUGCUGAAAAUAAAAAUAAAAAUAAAAACAGAUAGACAAGAUGAAUCACUUGGAUCCGACUCGUGUGUUAGUGUAACCUUUGAUUAUUUUCGCACUUUUGCACUUCUUUAAGAGAUUAUCUUAGUUAUUGUAGUAGGCCCCUUUUUGAAGGCGACGUUACCCUCAACCCAGUAGUUUGAGUCAGCAAGGAUACAAUCCUAAAGGGUCGGAUUAUUGAAAGAUAAUUAAUUAAGUUAUUAAUGCAUAAUGUGGUAGGCCCCUCUUUUGAAGGUGACGUUACCCUCAGCUAAGUAGUCUGAGUCAGCAGGGAUACAGUCCUAAAUAGUUGGGUUAAAGUUUUAAUAGUAGUUUAACUUAUGAGGGGAUCAAAGAGUUUGGACCCCCGCCAUCCAAUACCUUUGGGUAUUGAAGGAGGUCCUACUAAAUUUGACUCAGGUCCCUUGCAGGAUCUCUAAACGCUGAACAACGGCAAGACUCUUACCAAACCGUUCCCUUAACCCCCGACCAGGUAGCCAACAUACCUCCAUAUAGACCGUGGAGAUAUGAAUGGUGAAAAUCUUUUAUUUUAUAUAGACAGUAAAAUAAUGCCAAGACACCACGGACAAACGAUAAGGAAGAAUCACCUUCAACAUAAGAAACUAGUAAUUAAAGUCAUAAAUACAAAAC
rnacentral:lncRNA from 1 species